rnacentral:rRNA from 1 species
AUUGAACGCUGGCGGAAUGCUUUACACAUGCAAGUCGAGCGGCAGCGCGGGGCAACCUGGCGGCGAGCGGCGAACGGGCGCGUAACGCAUCGGAACAUGUCCAUUCGUGGGGGAUAGCCCGGCGAAAGCCGGAUUAAUACCGCAUGAGCCCGAGAGGGGAAAGUGGGGGACCGCAAGGCCUCGCGCGGAUGGGUUGGCCGAUGUCCGAUUAGCUAGUUGGCGGGGUAAAGGCCCACCAAGGCGAUGAUCGGUAGCUGGUCUGAGAGGAUGGUCAGCCAGACUGGUCUUGAGAAACGGACCAGACUCCUACAGGCGGAAGCAGUGGGGAAUUUUGGACAAUGGGGGCAACCCUGAUCCAGCGAUUCCGCGUGAGUGAAGAAGCCCUUCGGGUUGUAAAGCGCUUUUGUCCGGAGCGAAGCGGCGAGCGUGAACAUCGCUCGCUACCGACGGUACCGGAAGAAGAAGCACCGGCUAACUACGUGCCAGCAGCCGCCGUAACAC